rnacentral:rRNA from 1 species
CCUACGGGAGGCAGCAGUGGGGAAUAUUGGACAAUGGGCGCAAGCCUGAUCCAGCAAUGCCGCGUGAGUGAUGAAGGCCUUAGGGUCGUAAAGCUCUUUUACCAGGGAUGAUAAUGACAGUACCUGGAGAAUAAGCUCCGGCUAACUCCGUGCCAGCAGCCGCGGUAAUACGGAGGGAGCUAGCGUUGUUCGGAAUUACUGGGCGUAAAGCGUACGUAGGCGGUUAUUCAAGUCAGAGGUGAAAGCCCGGGGCUCAACCCCGGAACGGCCUUUGAAACUAGGUAGCUAGAAUCUUGGAGAGGUCAGUGGAAUUCCGAGUGUAGAGGUGAAAUUCGUAGAUAUUCGGAAGAACACCAGUGGCGAAGGCGACUGACUGGACAAGUAUUGACGCUGAGGUACGAAAGCGUGGGGAGCAAACAGGAUUAGAUACCCUGGUAGUCCACGCCGUAAACGAUGAUAACUAGCUGUUCGGGCACUUGGUGCUUGAGUGGCGCGAGCUACGACAUUAAGUUAUCCGUCCGUCGGGAGGUACGGUCGCGAAGAAGUUAAAACCGUAAACGAAAGUUAGUACGGACGUGAGACGUGCCGACGGACGACGACGAGGGAGAGG